UAUGAAGACCACAUACAGUUUGUUCAUGGCCAUGUAUGGUGGGUGUGGAUGAGAGACCCCCAAGUUGAGGUUCUGGAUAAGGGUCCAUGCUCCACAUAUGGCCGUAUGUGGGGCGUAAGUUAGAGGAGGUGGCGGCCUUUUAAAGACCCAAAAUCAAUUUAAAUCCUAGUUUUUUCACAUCUUUCUUUCAGAAUUGAUCCCUCCUAAGUCUAUUUUUCAUCCCUCCAAUAUUCAAGAAAAUUGAAGUUAGCUUUUCAAGGAUGCUUAAGUGAAGAAAUUGUAAGAUUUUGGCAGCCAAGGAGUUGACGAGCACAUCCACCCUCCACAUAGUUAGAGUUGAGUUCCUACUUCUGCUAUUGGUGAAUCCUCAUUUGUUGAGGGACG